CAUUCGAACUCGAGGCCUUGCAGGACUGGGAAUACAAGUUUAUGAGCAAGUAUACCAAGGUUGGAACUAUUAAGAAGACAUUCCCUGUAACCGAUGGGUCCUCCACCGUUGAACCCUCUGAAACCACUGAUCGUGACAUUGCCAAGCCUGCAGAAGAUGGUCCGUCAGAGAGCUUGCCCGCCAAACCUGUGGAAGCCACCACUGGCGGGGAUGCACAGGAGUGAAGUUGAGGUACUUUUGACCACAGCAGUAGGAGCAGUGAACCACCACCCUCGGUGGAGAUUCUGUUAAUGUUAUAUUGUUGGGUGCUUGUGUUUGUUAAUGUGCUUAUAAGU
rnacentral:lncRNA from 1 species